rnacentral:rRNA from 1 species
AUGUUCAUGCCAAUAUCUCCAAUGGACACACUUCACUUCUCCUGCAUCCAAAUAGCCAUAGCCUUACUCUUGUUCACUCAAGCCAAGAGCACCACAGAGGGCAGCACAUCUGUCCUGCAUGCAAACGAUGCGAUCCCCAACUGUGUUGCCGGUGAGAAGUCUGCCCUUCUUUUCUUCAGGGCAGGCCAAUCAGACUCUGGCAACCUCCUUUCAUCAUGGAAGGGCGAUGCCUGCUGCCGGUGGAAGGGCGUCUACUGCAGCAACAGAACCGGCCAUGUUGUCAAGCUGGAUCUCCGAGGCCCUGAAGACGGAAGCGGGCAGGCACUAUCAGGCAACAUAAGCUCCUCGUUGCUUGGUUUACAUCAUCUUCGGUAUCUCGACCUCAGCCACAACAGAUUCGACAAGACGUGA